rnacentral:rRNA from 1 species
GAUGAACGCUGGCGGCGUGCUUAACACAUGCAAGUCGAACGGAAAGGCCCCUGCUUGCAGGGGUACUCGAGUGGCGAACGGGUGAGUAACACGUGGGUGAUCUGCCCUGCACUUCGGGAUAAGCCUGGGAAACUGGGUCUAAUACCGGAUAGGACGAUGGUUUGGAUGCCAUUGUGGAAAGUUUUUCGGUGUGGGAUGAGCUCGCGGCCUAUCAGCUUGUUGGUGGGGUAAUGGCCUACCAAGGCGUCGACGGGUAGCCGGCCUGAGAGGGUGUACGGCCACAUUGGGACUGAGAUACGGCCCAGACUCCUACGGGAGGCAGCAGUGGGGAAUAUUGCACAAUGGGCGCAAGCCUGAUGCAGCGACGCCGCGUGGGGGAUGACGGCCUUCGGGUUGUAAACUACUUUCGCUAGGGACGAAGCGAAAGUGACGGUACCUGGAGAAGAAGCACCGGCUAACUACGUG